UACAGAGGGUGCAAGCGUUAAUCGGAAUUACUGGGCGUAAAGGGUGCGUAGGUGGUUGAAUAAGUUAGGUGUGAAAGUCCUGGGCUUAACCUGGGGAUUGCGCCUAAUACUGUUUAGCUAGAGUACUGUAGAGGAAGGUGGAAUUUCCAGUGUAGCGGUGAAAUGCGUAGAUAUUGGAAGGAACAUCAGUGGCGAAGGCGACUUUCUGGACAGAUACUGACACUGAGGCACGAAAGCGUGGGGAGCAAACAGG
rnacentral:rRNA from 1 species